rnacentral:tRNA from 1 species
AUUUAAGCUUCAUAUAUAAAGUUGAUACUUUUUUUAGAA